rfam:Oryza sativa Japonica Group DNA, chromosome 6, cultivar: Nipponbare, complete sequence.
UUUAAACGUAGUUAUGAGUUUCCAUGUCCAGCUUUGAUUGUCAUCUUAUUUGAACUUUUUAUUAUUAGUAUUUUUAUUAUUGUUAGAUGAUAAAACACGAAUAGUAAUAUGCAUGACUUAUGUUUUUAGUUUUUUUUAAAAAAAUGUUUCAAAUAAAACAUACGAUUAAAGUUAGAUACGAAAACUCAUAGAUACGUUUAAA